rnacentral:lncRNA from 1 species
CAGAUUGCAGACCACUGGUGUAAUCAAAACAGCGUUGACUCAUUUUUGGCUUGACACUUUUAUUAACUUGUGUGAUUUGAAGCAUUUCUUUUUUUCACCUCUAAAAUGAAGCAAUUUGAAAUAUACUCCCCUCCCACACUUUUCGGGUGGAACCCAAAAGGUCAAAAAUUGGAAAGAGACGCUGUUGUACUCUGUGCCUGUGGUCCAGAAAAAUAGACCAUUGUCUUUUGUGCUCUGUAUGUGUACAUAAAAUACAU